rnacentral:misc_RNA from 1 species
AUUGGUAGAUGAUUGUUUUCAGCAAUCAAUUUUCUCAAGUCACGCACUUUGAUGAGAGAAGGAACAAGAAGGUAAGAUGGACGAGAAGGGCCAAUGGUUUUGAGUUUGAUCUCUACCAAAUUCUUCUUCUCAUCACCAUCAUCUCCACCUUUUCUUCUUUUUUCAUCAGAAUUAUCUAUUUUGCUGCUGCUUCGAUUUCUGUCUUCCUCUACCAUCUCUGCCAUCACUCC